rnacentral:tRNA from 1 species
GCCCGGAUGGCGAAAUCGGUAGACGCAAGGGACUUAAAAUCCCUCGGGGGUAACCCCGUGCCGGUUCGACCCCGGCUCCGGKCACCA